GAGUUGAUGCAAAUCAUUAACCAGCAAGUCAACAAAAACCAAUCCUUCAUGUAAAAUCCAGAUAAGUAUUAUUUACACGAAUUAUCUUGAAAACAAAGACCCUUCUUUUUUAUCAUUCCUCGACUUACACUGAUCAAACCUUCCACCAUCAAGUAAUCUCACAAACAAAUAAAAUGAAGACGUCAACAGUACUUCAGUUUGAAAAUUGCAGAAAUCUAUAUGAGGACGGGGAGGGGAGAGAAAGGGCAGCCCACCAAUGGACUUCUCUCUUCAGGCAAAAACAAAAUCUUUGUACAAGUAAUAUGACUAGCAUCAUGCAUAAUGCAAAUUUACACAUUAUACUGUUACACUGCUUUGACAAAAGCUUCAGAAGUAAUGGACAUCAGGAAUUAUAUGUAGGACCAGCAUCCAACUAUGGUCUUUUUUUUUUUUUUUUUC
rnacentral:misc_RNA from 1 species